rnacentral:rRNA from 1 species
CAAGUCGAACGGCAGCACGGAGCUUGCUCUGGUGGCGAGUGGCGAACGGGUGAGUAAUAUAUCGGAACGUACCCAGGAGUGGGGGAUAACGUAGCGAAAGUUACGCUAAUACCGCAUACGUCCUAAGGGAGAAAGUGGGGGAUCGCAAGACCUCAUGCUCAUGGAGCGGCCGAUAUCUGAUUAGCUAGUUGGUGAGGUAAAGGCUCACCAAGGCAACGAUCAGUAGCUGGUCUGAGAGGACGACCAGCCACACUGGAACUGAGACACGGUCCAGACUCCUACGGGAGGCAGCAGUGGGGAAUUUUGGACAAUGGGGGCAACCCUGAUCCAGCAAUGCCGCGUGAGUGAAGAAGGCCUUCGGGUUGUAAAGCUCUUUUGUCAGGGAAGAAAAGGGUGCGGCUAAUAUCUGCGCCUCAUGACGGUACCUGAAGAAUAAGCACCGGCUAACUACGUGCCAGCAGCCGCGGU